GUCUACAGCCAAACCACCCUGAACGUGACUGAUCUCGUCUGAUCUUGGAAGCUGAGCAGGGUCAGGCCUGGUUAGUACUUAGAUGGGAGGAGAUGGGAGAAUAUCCUGAACCAUCUGAUGGGCU
ensembl:rRNA 5S_rRNA 5S ribosomal RNA